UGUUGAAAUUUGUUAUUUAGAUAAACAGCAUCCCUUUGCAUUGGAAAAACUACCGAUGACGGCCGAGUUACGGAUCUCUCAUUUUCCCCUUUCUUUAAAUGUCCUCGUGUACGCCCAUGAGAAUGUGGGUGUAUUCACGAGGACUCCCUUUUACCUAUCCUUGCUGGUCGUGGAUUCAACUUUGCUGUGGAUGGAGCCCUUUUGGAUGCCUGGCUGUGGAUUUCCCAGGCAUAAAGGAACGAAAACCGAGCCACGGUCACUACUGUAGAGUACCUGACCCGGAAUAAAGGUGCUAGCGCCCGACGGACUCAGCAAAAUCUUGCCCGGCACGAAUCGAGGACCAGUUUUACUACCAAAUACUUGUCCAGAAGAUGGGUCCUGUGAAACCUUCAACUGAUUUCGAGGUUCCAGUAUCAAUGACUUGGCCAGGCACAAACUGCUCAAUUUUGCUGGGACCAGUCCUCACCGCUUGGCCAGGGAUAAAGAUGCUGCCGAGUGCAGAUUCUAUUGAUUUUCCAGGUAUGAAUUUCGGGGUGUCGUCCAUUUCCAUCAGCUGGCCAGGUACCACUUUGACGUCUUCAGCGUUGGCGGUUCCAACCAUCAACUCGUCAUGGCCUUGCUCGGCAUUGCAGUGAACGUGCUGUUGUCGAUGGGCAGGCCGUCGCUCACUCCCGUGCGGAAGAAAACUUCCUCUUCUUUGGCGGCCAACAGCAAUUGGUUGUUUUGGGUCGCGUCAAUUUUGCACGGGACGAAUCUCUCCUCCGCUAAGAUUCCCGCAACGAAUUGCGUUCCCUCUUUCGUUAACAUCGUCUCACCCGGAACGAAUCGCUUUUGGCCAUCCUCAAGGACCAUUUGACGACCCGGGCAAAAUCGUGUUCGUCCAUCCUUUGUCUUGUAACUUUGGCCAGCAAGAAACAGUGGGCCGUCAGCUGUUUCUACAUUUUCACCCAUCGUAAAUUCUGGCGUGCCGUUGGGACCGUCCAUCAAGACCUGUCCAGCUGAAAAUUGGCCGUCCAUGUCCACCUGUCCAGCAACGAAACGAGCGCCUUGCGGAGUAUCAAAAGUAACGCCGCUAAUGAACAUUGGGCCGUUAACUGUUUGAAAUAUCUGUCCAACGUGGAAUUUGUUAUCUACAGACGAAGUUUGUCCAGCGACGAAUUUCAAUCCUUCUCCGUCCGUUUGAAUCGUCCUUCCGGGUAAAAAUUUCGGACCAAAAAGUGUCUGGACGGCUUGACCAUUUACGAAUUGGGACAACUUGCCGUCUCUCAUAAUUUGCCCAGCAGAAAAUUUACCAUCAAAUGUGUAGCCUGGAAGAAAUCCGACUCCCUCUGGAUUUUGAACGAUACAUCCGGGCUGGAAAUUUUCUCCUACCAUCUUUCCCGGCACGAAUCCGGUGUUGGACUGCUGGCCCACCACGAAACGCUCUUCAUUUUCACCAACCGGCACCAUCAUACCUCCUACAGCUCGGAUUUUAUCUUCGUUCUUCACCACGGGCUGAGUGGCGACGAAACGGACCCCGUCCUGCUCGCUGCGUACCAUCCAUCCCUUUCUGCCGCGUUCCAGCGCUGUCAUAACGGUUCCCACUUCGUGAAUGAAAGGUAGGAACAUCAGCGAUUCGACGUCGCUGAAAAGAUCUUUCAACUGGCUGGUGGACGACGAAUCUUUCGUGGCCGUGAUCUUGUCCAGCUCUUGUACGAAAUUGGCUGGAAGUUUUCCCUUAAACGGUCGGAUGACUUCAUCGAAGACUGGCACAGCUUCAAACCCGACAGACUCUUCGUUCAAAAUAGGAACUUGAUUCGAGAGGAUGAGACCAGGUGACAUAGUGUUAGCAGGCAGCUGUACGGGCUGGAAAUUCCGGACUGGCAAAUCGGGCAGGUCUUCUUCUUUAAUAGCUGGCAGAGAUUCAAAGUCCCAGUUGUCGAUUUUCGGAUACAGAAGCUCACGCCAGUCGGUGCCAAUAGUCAGCAAAUUGGCCGCACUGCGGUGGUAUGCCGUGAUUUUGUCCAUCCGGUCGGUCCAGUCUGCAAUAAUCACUUGCUCUUGUUCGGAUUCUUCCGGCGGGGGUGACGCAGUUGGCGACAAGACGCUAUUCUUUUUCGGAUCGGAUAUUUUUCGCUUCUUGUACUGUCGAAUUUGUCGCUGCUUCGCCAGGAUUUCGUCGUCUUGACCGCCUCCCUCAAGCAGUGGCGGCAUGUCGUUGGGAACGGGCAGAGUCAUGGGUCGUAGAUUCAGGGUCAAACUGGGCCCGUCUUUGAGCCGAAUGAGGACGCUGGAUCCAUCUUUGGCUAGGAGAAGGUUCUCAAUCUCACCGCGACGGACGGCCGCUUCCAUGUCGGCCGGCAGGACUAAAUUCAAGUGAUUUUCAUCCAAUUGGUAGACGAAUCGCUGGCCCGGCUGGAAAGUCAAAGUGUCCAGCCGACUGCCCAUUCUGUCCAGUAUGGAUUUGAGUUGCUUGAGAUUGGCAUCUUUAGCUCCGAUGAUGGGGUAAAGGUAUUUGUAUGACUCGUUGAUUUGAUGUUUGGCCGUGAUGCGGCACUUCUCCGAUAGCCCGUUGUUUCCCGCGGCUGUCUGCUGGUAGUGAUGUUGGUCGUCGGCGUGACUCGUUAUGUGACAUUUAACGGCUUUAGAGAUGCGAGCAAAUUCAAUCAAAGGAACGUACGUGUGGCGGAGUUCCUCUUCAGAGCUGCCAACAGAUUUACCCAUCAGUCGACAUAUCCGGCGAGCCUCGACGGGCGAAAUGGGCGGCAACAGGGGGAAAUAGUUGGGUUUGGGCAGGUUGCGGCUGUUGCCCGUCACUCGACAAAAUGUAGGCAACAUGUUUGGACUUUUAAAAGGAGACCGGGUGAGAAUAUUAUAAUCAGUUGUCGACAACGAAACACGCACAGAGCACGCAACGGAGACCAGCAGCAGCUGCAGCUGCUUGAAAUUUCGAAUUAUCCUACCAGCCCCCCCAAAAAAAACACUCGCGAGCUGCACAAAUGUGUUCGAUUAUUCGUAAUCGUAGUGAUUAAGAUGUCUGGCGGCUAUACGCGGCCGGUUUUUUUUUUUUUUCACUGAAAAAAUGAAUUCCAAAUAAAUCUACGCACUCUAUGUAAGUGAUCCUUUUGACGGCUAAACAGCAUAGCGUCUACCGAAUGUUGCCAUUUUAUGCGGCCGUUCGUCUUUGGGCGCUCUUCUCCUACAAAGUAGUGCGUUGAUCUCUGUCGUGUUAAGCCGAGGACAGACCCCAAAGGAGUAAAAAGACUGACUGACUGGGGUUUCUGCUGCUGGGAUCCUCUUAUAAAUAGCGGAGCCCAACCUUCUAAUAGGAAGGAGGAGUGAGGUGGGGGGGGGGUGAGGUGGGAAGUGGGAGAGGAAAUAGCGCAACAACAGGGAGCGACAGUGGCGGCAAGGACAAGAAAAAGUUGUGUCUGGCACUAUGCAGCACGUCCGUAUAUGAUCGUAUGGGGGGGGGGAAUGACAGUAACGCCGGGGAGCACGGAUGACUGCACUUUUUGAUUUCCACCUGAAGCCAAAAAGCCAAUCCCGGAAUCCCGCGACAAACCCCGCGCCGCGACGAACAAGUUUUUGCGCUAGUCCUGGCCUUUCAUAACAUCCAAUCAUACUUUCAGGCAAAUUUUUUCGCGUCGCGCUGAUGAUGGAGAUUUCGUGGAAAUGAAAUACACUAAUUAAGUUUUGGGUUGCUCUCCGGCGUCCCUGAGUGAAACUGGGCGACUUGCCCGCUAGAUCGUUUCAAGGAUCCAAUCGACAAGUGCAACAGCAACAACAACAUCCGCAGAACAAGAAAAAGCAAUGCAAAAAUCAAGAGGAGACAACACAGAGGAAAAAAGAAGAAGAAAGCCAGACUAGUGUGAUUAUUAGAAGUUGGCCUUGGAAGAUUUUUGAUGAGAUGGGAGGAGGUUUGAAUGGCAUUACCAUAGCCGCAUACCCGGAAUGAUUCCUGCCUGCCUGGCCUGCCCACCUUCAUCAUUCGCAAGCCAACAGACGCAGGAAGGAAGGAGAAAAAGAUCUGAUUUAUUUGAUUUUCUAUUUUCCGCGCGCGCGUCCGUCCUGCUGCUGCUGGCAAGUGGCGAAGAACAUACUGGCAACGUGUCACCUUUUCUUUUCUUUUUGCCUUCUUCCCUCAUUUCCCCCCUUCCCCCAAUCUCUUUCUGGCUUUUGCAUCCGGCCAUCACCUAUCCGCCCACAAAUCCAGUCCGUCCGUCCGUCCAUCCGCCGCCUCGUCAUCCUUCAUUGCUGAAAUUCCUGAAAUGACUUUGCAAAUGUGUCAAUGUCGUCCUUUUGUUUUCUUUUCUGUAUACUACCUCGGCUUCGCUUAUUUAUUUAUUUUUUCUUCUAGAGGAUAGCGGACACGGCGAGUCAUUUUCGUUGCCGUUCGACGGGCUUUCAAUGAAGCGAACAAGAAAAGCUGAAAUGAGAGAGAACGCCGGACUCGAUUGCUGUUGACGAUGUGAGGCGAGACAAGACCAUAGCAAAAAUAACGAAAGAAAAUAAGGAAAAAGGCGAAACAAAACAAAAUCAAGAGAAUUCAAAAUGGACGUGGCAGCGUCCGUCCCGCAUUGGCGCGAAAAUUCCAAACUGUACCACCGACGUUCGCGGCGCCCGGCAUAAACCAUACAGGAUUUAGAGUGUGGAAUGCAGCAUACGUAUAGUAUAGAAGACCCGAGAAAAGAAACAAGUAACUUGCGGCCGUCAUUCCGUCCAUUCCUUUAGCGACCAAGAAGAAGCACGAGGUGCGUAUUCAAAUGUUUCUCUCAUUGGAAUUUCCAUACAAUUUUUUCUUGUUCUUCUCCCCUUUCCCGAUGUUCCUUUUUGCAAUUGCUGUCGUUGGCUUGUUAUUCUCUAUCUCCUUUCCAAUGGCAAGUCCAUCGCCAUGCAGAUCCAUUUUCAGACAGGAAGACGACAAUCAAGUAUAGACCCAAUUCGUUUAAUUGAUUAUAACGAGGAGCUAUAGUACAGAUAUUAUAGACACGCCCCCCGUUCGCCGUAUAGCAUUCCAUUGCCAUUCUAUCCAUUUAAACGUUUUUUUUAUUAAAUUCAACAUUUUGGCGCCAGAGAGGGGGAAGAAGGAGAGAUGGAUGAUGCCGGAAUUCAAGAUGGCCAUCGAUUCUUCCGACUUUUGGCGGUUUGUUUCUUUUUAAAUUUGCAAAAAAGCCAAUGAAACGGGAGGAGAAGAAAGGGCAAAACGUUGCGCUCGUUCAUCACAAUGACAUCAAAAGAGUUUGGCCUGCUGCUGAUGUUGUGUGCUGUUCUCUAUGCGGCGGCUGCUGUAUUAUCCAAUCCGCGCAACUGUCGCGGAUAUGAACCGUUGCACUGGAUGGACGAGGACGACGAAUGCCAUUCCAACCGUUGGCGACGGCGGCAGUUUGCAAAAGAGUGCACCGUACUCUCUGCGCGUAUACCAAGAUACUAGCAGGACAUUUGUACAUAAAACACGGAUGGCGGCGACAAUGAAUUGUUAAUAGAAAUAAAGAAAAAAAAGUUAGACAAAUUUGAUCCAACAACGACCAUUUAAGUUGAAUUCAAAGUCUCAUUUUCUGCUCUGUUGUCAGGCUAUUUUUGCCAGCUCCCGAUGUUUUUUCCUAUGUUUUUGCCUGAACCGAAAUUCCUACAUAAUCCACUGUCCACCAGGUGUAAUAAUAAUAAUAAUAAAGGGAACCUGCCUGCCGCUGCUGCCAGAUGAAAAAUCGUCCAAUCCGCCAACGACUCACGAUGGCGUCUCCGACUCGCCGUCCAGACGAGGCGCGGAUCAUUUAUCCCGCGGAGCGGAGGCGAUGCUGGCCCUUCUCAACAUGAGAACUCGUCCCUUAAGGAUCGUUGACUCAAUUUGGAAAAGGGAUUCUUCUUUUUCAUUUUGUGCUGACGGUUGUCACAAACCAUUUCUUUUCUAGCUGAUAUAUUCGACUUGGUUGUCGUUCAAACUAGCCAGCCGUUGUCAUAAACUCCGUUUUGUUGCCAUAGUGGGCUGCAGGCUUCUGUGUGUUUACAAGCUAUGCAGCCGAGAUGGGCGGUCGAACAACAACAACAAAAAAACACAAACAUCUGGACGAAUAAUAUGAAUGAGGAUUGAGGAGAUAUCAAGUUGGCAAGCCACGGACACGCAUUCUUCAGUCAGUCAGUCAGACAGUUGGGUUGAUUUUUAGUUCCUUAGGUUAAGGGGUGGGCCAUGCAGCUGGGCUAUACAGGAAAAAGACACUCUGCCCAGCAGCAUUGGAAAAUGAAAAAAAGGUGAAAGGGAUGUGGAUAUAAGAAGAAGGAUAAACGCUAUACUCGCGUGUGUAUAUCUGGGCCGCUUUCCUGCUGCAAGUUUGAUCCUAAGGAUUUGUCCACGUUGCCAAGACAUUUCAUCCGAGCAAAGAUAGAGAGAGGCAACCUAUGCAUACUGCUGCAUAAACUGAUCCCCUGUUCUAUCAGCUCCUGUCUGAUACAACGGAUUUUCCAUCCCCUACUACAUAUGAUAUAGCUGGCCAUCGGAUGCAUGACACGUCUAAUGCGACUGAUGGAUCAUACGCCAAUCACGUGAAAAAAAGGCUAAGAAACCUGCUGUGACGGGUCUUGGCCAACACGUCGGUGGUACAGUGACACUAUACAUGAUUGCACAUUGGAAUUUUUAGGCAAUACCUUCAAUAGCAUCCCGUGUUGGACAAUAUCUAUAAUUAUACAAGGACGCGAUACACACACACACACACAUACGCACACACACUGCAGGCACUGUGAGGAGGAGGUGACGGGCAGCAGAUUAGAUUUUUUGGCGAUAGUUUUGGCGUGUGCAAAGUGGGCGGUCAAUUAAGACAGGAAACGUCAAUCAUUCAAACACCCACUUCAUCAUUUGUUGCUGUCGUCAAUCACUUGAGUCGUCGUCGUCCUUGAAUGCAGAUGAUGACUAUACGCAUUGGACAACUUAUUCCUACUAUCGAUCGCUAUAGUUUGCUAACUUGUGCAACUUUUGGAUGAAACUAUAUUAGCUACUUAUUAUUCAGAGAAAUUUAUUUUUCUAAUUCCAGUUAAAGAGCCCUAUUUACGUUCGUCGGUGGUGACAAUCAGGUAAAAAGGAUGUGAUAGACGUCCGAAGGCUCACUGGAGACGGUGACAUUGUUGAAGGUUAUUCUGCUGCGAUUUGUUUUCCAUUUGGCGAAGUAAUAUUGUGAUACAUAUAUAAGGAAAUAGCGGAAACGAUGUGAAAUACUGUUGAGCAGGAAAUAACUUCCGAUCAUGGUUGAUGCAAUCUCUAGUACAUCCAAAAAGGGCACGGAAAAAAUGUUCCUUCUUCUCAACACAUUUGAAUACGUUUUUUUCUCUUCAGGCCUAUAAUAGGUAACAACAAGGAACCGAUGACGCAAUGGGAAAGAAUGGCGUGAUCAUAUAGGAGGUGAUGAAGUAAGAGGGUAAAGCGCUAGGUGGCAGUAGGUAGCCACUUGGCCGGCUCCAUCGUUCACCCAUUUAUUUAUUCUUCGCAGUUCCGUGAAGUUGUAUUCCAUCUAGACGAACAGCUCGAAAGGCACAUCACUGAGAUUUAGUGAUAUUCGUUUAAAUGUACAGUUUAAUAUCUUUCUUCAAUGUCGUCGUCAACUGUGCGCAUAACGGUGGAUACUCUGGUUAUAAUUUAUAACGCAGUUGUUGUAAGAUGCCUUAAGUUUUAAAGAUAAUCAAAAACGAAAGCCAAGUUUCUGCACAAAGAAAUAUGUGCAUUAUUAAUACUAGUAUAGAGGGUACAGUACAACCUAGUAGAAGACAGAGACGUACAGCUCAUCCCUAGCUAGACACAGAGUUAUUUAUAGCGCUGCAAUGAUUCUGAUCAAAUAUAGACAAACAUAAAAGUUAUCUGCACAGUGCACACACGUAUAAGUGUGCACGUCGCAGAGAUCGAAAGGAAAACGGGAUCAUCGCCCUUUUCCUGGUUCUUCGAAAUUUUGCAGAUCUAGCCACAUCACUCAUGACAUGAACACUACUUGAUGGAGGCUGUAAGGUAUACAGUGCCUACUUAAAGAAUGAGAACGCGCGAGAAAAUUUUAUGUAAAAAGGGGAUUUUCUCGGCGCCCACCGGAAUUAAAUUUUCUUGCGCGAAGAGCGAAGAAAUUUUUUUUUACACAAUCAACAGUCAUUAAUUUAUGGCAACAUUAUGGUUAUUAAGGGCAACAGUGGCAACACCGCUUCCAAUCCACGAAUGUUCGUCUGCAAAGGUCUAUAACUCUACUCUCUACAUUCUGGGAUUCUGCAUUGUUAUGUAUUUCUCAAAUGGUGAGGCUAGCUUUAGGCAUAUUGUUGCAAAGUUUCAAUCGUUGAAUUGUUAAAUUGUGGUGAACAUUUGGAAAAUGAGUUCGUUCACGCAAAAGUUUGCUUUUGUUUCUCGGUGGCCUAACCUGACACCUGUGUUACCCACUGCUGUCCCGUUGCCUCCUAUAAACGUGGAUAAAACAGCAAUCAAACGUCAAAUCAAGGAAAUGCUAGAAACAGCCUUGAGUUUGAGUAUUCAGUAUGACUAUUGAAGUUUUUUGCUUAAAACGAGAAAAAUAAACAGUCCACAAGGGGAUUGGCAUUGGUUAUAGUUCCACGUCAGACUUCAGACAACAAAAUAUCAGUGUUAAAGAAAAAUCAGUGAAAAGAUCGUGCAAAAAACGUGUGGAAUCAAUGAAAGGCUUUUUACUUACAGAUUCAAUAGAGAAAAAAAGUCAAGAUUGAUAACUUUUAAUCUUUUCAUUCAACAUCUAUUACAGCCAAUCUCUUACAAUGUGAACAGCAAGAUUACUAAACUGACAUAUUUGAACCGACAUUGACGCGAUGAUCAUUAAAAAAAACUGACGUUCGGGAAGAAAUUAGCUUGGUGAGGAAACUCUUGUCAUGGAGAAAAGUAAUAUGUGGCUGUACUCAAGCCUCCAACAAAUGAACUCUUGCUGCAGUUUUAACCAAGACGGUAUUUGAAAAGCCCCUUUAGAAAGAGCUAUACUAUCUGAGGCAGGUGACUCCCAUGAUACAAUUAUCAAGCAAGUAUAAGGCAAGGACAAUUGUAAUCUGGAACUCGACGAACAGGUCAAUGUUGAGAAAGAAGAAGAUGACUGCUCAAUACAAUUAAAUCAAAGAAGGACAAUACGGAAGCUCUGGUGGAAGCUAUGAAAGAGUUUGGCGUUGAAGUGGAUAUCGAUUUAAUUUAACUAGUGUGAAAUCCCAAAGUAGAGCCAGAAGGUCCAUCUAUCACCGGCACACCAAUAUCCAACGGAACUUACUCCACAAGACUGGCAUAAGUGUAGUGCCUACUGAAAUUAACUUACGAAUCAUAGUUCCGAUGGAUUCACUUUCAAGGAGAAAAGCAGUCGACAGUCCCUAUAGGAGGAGAGACACUGUAACUGCCAUUUGCUUAGCGAUUGAGAUUAGCGAAAGUCGUGGAUACCAUCUGUCAAUCAAUGCGUCUUGUCUACCGACCCGGAUCCCCCGUGUGUAUAUCGAUCCUCUCGAUCCUGGUUGCUUACAUCCGCCAAGUUUUUAUUGACACUAGCCAGCAAAAAGCUCGCAGAAACAUUCGCGAAGAUAACGGAAAAGAGACACCAACACGGGGGAAAGAAACAAAAGGACGCCAGUUCAUCCAUUCUCACGCUCAAAAGAAGUUCCGUUGAUUACUGUACCCCAAGCUUGUCUGCUUAACAUUUAAGAAAAGACGACGAUAGCUCUAAGCCUCUAAUAAGAUAAACAGCAAUGGCUGUGGAAGAACUGAACAAACGCAAAAGAUUCAAAUCGCCGUCACUUUUUUUUAUAAAGCAGGAACACAUUUCUAUUACCUACCUUUUGUUCGUUUCUGUCAUCCAGCAGUUCCUUACUGUCUACUAGUUCGUAAUCCGAAAUACAAAAUCGCUUUACAACUGGUUGUGAGUUUGGGACCGGCGAAUGUAGUUUUUAAAGUAAAAUAAGUCGUCGAAGAACGCUCCGUCAACGUCAAUUUUUAUUUGCCAAUAAACAGUGCCCGAAGAGUUCAUACCGAGACCGCUAUUUCAUGUGCCUUGGCUUGCAGGAUACGAAUUAGGUAAUCUAAAAUUGAGCGAAGAUGGUGACGAGAGUUGCAACGUGGAAGCGGCUCACCUCUGGAAGAUGUUUAGCGAAGAUGACGUUGAAGUGAAAUGCAGUAUGUUUCCUCCAAGUGCUGCCAAACGCUCAGAGUCUGAUUGAAAAGUGUUCGAAUCCGGUCAAUCGGUCUAUCCAUCUAAUUGGUCCAUUACUUCCUGGUUGAUUUGAUUUUCAUUUUCACCAUCAUUUAGAGAUUGACUUAACAUUUGCUGUUGCCUUGUACUCUUGUAAAUAGUAUGUUACAGUGAAUAGAAAUGCAUUCUGAAUAACUGGCAGGUUAGCUAACCAA
rnacentral:lncRNA from 1 species